ensembl:processed_transcript Gm11542 predicted gene 11542
AGUAGGCGGUCCGCCGGUUUCGGUCUCCAAGGUUUGAGUCUUGGUGCUUGGGGUCUUUUCCAUGUUUCUAUGCGUAUCUGCGUGUGGAAGAACCAUUUCCUGACCGCAAAAGCAUUGUCCCGGAGAGCGGAGGAUCUGCGGCCUGACCGCUCUGGUGUGGCAGAGCAUGGGGGGAGGGGGGAGUCAGCUGGCUCCCUGGGAAAUGCUGGCACUCUCAGACGUGUGAGUACCACCUGCCCUGCCUAUAAAAUCUGAAGGCCGCAUCCCUGAAGACAAAGCAUAGGCCCUUGACUGACUUCCGAGGCUCUUCACGAAAUUGACUUGCCACUCUACAACCUCUCAUCCAAAGCAUCCUCAGGCCUCUGCUCGUGUUGUGGUUCUCAACUUCUACCUUCUGUCAGAAUCUCCUGGAAGAUGAUUUUAAAAACAGCGCCAGUUCUCACUCCUGGAGUUUAGAACACCCGAGAAUUAAAUUUUUCAACAAGUUCCGCUGCUGCUGCUGCUGCUGCUGCUGCUGCUGCUGCUGCUGCUGCUCUGGGAUCACGCUUGGAGACCCACCAGACCUUAGCAUAUGCUGUUCUCGCUCCACCCCAUCAGUGACAUCUUGGCUUGUGCCUCCCUAGCACAAUUUAAGCAUCUGGUGGUAAUUUCUCCACGAACGUGCCUCAUUUGCCUUUGAAGCCUUGGCCCCCAGCUUUAAAGCUCAGGAUAUGUUAGGAGGGUAGGGAGCUGAGAGAACCCACCCAGUUGACCAUACUGCUUUCUGGCAUGUUCAAGAGCGGUGUCCAGUAAAGACUAAACACACCCGGGGACCUCACCUGAUCCCAGCAGACCAGGGAGGGCAGCGGAAGAGAAGGACCUCUGCUUGUUCUGGUCAGCCCUGCUCGUUCCAGUUAGCCCCACUGGCUCUGGUCAACUCUUCCCUUUGCUCUGGGCCAAAGACUUAUUUAUUAAUAUACAUAAGUACACUGUAGCUGUCUUUAGACACACCAAGAGAGGGCAUCAGAUCUCAUUACGGGUGGUUGUGAGCCAACAUGUUGUUUCUGGGAUUUGAACUCAGGACCUUCAGAAGAGCAGUCAGUGCUCUUACCCACUGAACCAUCUCACCAGCCCAUGAACUCUAAUCUUAUAAAAAUUUUUUUUCUCUAAGCUGCCUUGGCCAUGGUGUCUUUUCACAACAAUAGAAAAGUAACUAAGACAUCAACAAAGAAUGGCCCAAGCCUUUCUCCAGCUGUGUCACUGGGUCUACAAUCCUCCAGUGUCAGUAAAGGGCAUGAGGGAAGUUCUAUGCUAGGAUAUAUCUGUGGCAAGCAGAAAACUAAAACCACCAGACAAAAAAGGAAGGAAACAGAAAAAAAGCACAAUGCAGAACCCAAAUGCCCAGCCCAGAACCCAGAUUCCAGGACCUGAAGGAACCGAAUAGUAGAAAACUGAAAAACAGACAGAAACAGCCAACUUAACAGUGGACUCAGCUCCCAAAGACUUGAAAAUAAGGCUGUUUGAAGGAAGAAAUGAAGAAAUCAUUUGUCAAAC